CUACCAAGCCUGCGGCGGAAUGUUGCGUUAAGGGAAAGGUCGUUAAUAAGCCCUGCACUACCUGGCCUAAGUUUGGCUUGAAUUGUUCACUGUAUCCUAACGGGUACUACGGCUCCACAGAGGGUGUCAGACCCGUGUGGCCAUGUGAUUAAAUGUGCGUGGGUUCGGCUUUAUUCCCUGAGAGUCGCGUUGCUUGAGCAUGCAGCGCUAAGCAGGUCGUAAACUCGACCUAAGGCUAAAUAUAUUCACAGAACCGAUAGUAAACAAGUACCGUGAGGGAAAGUUGAAAAGUACUCUGAAGAGAGAGUUAAAAGACCGUGAAACCGCUUAGAGUAUAAGCCAAUGGUUUUCUGGAAUGCUGGAGCUACCCUGUGCCCUUGUGGGGAAGGGUAUCGUUUGUGCGAGAAUGAAGACUGACGGGCAAUGGAAGUGGCAUUGAGUUGAUAUCACGGCAACCGAAUCUCGCGGGUCUCUGACAGUGGUAACAGGGAACGUUCUAAUGAGGAACUGAACCGAGGCUGGGCUUGUGCGAGCGUCAGUUUCUAAGCACAAUAACGAAUUGCUUUCUAAACAGCACACCACAAUCCUUUAUAAGGUCUCCCUCGUGCGGCGGUGAGAUUCUCUCAGCUAGUCGUGGCGUGCUCUCUUGCGACAGUUGUGUUCUCCGGUAAAUGCUAGAGGCCGGCCGACUAUGCAUAUUGCCAUCCAGACACGGGCGGAAUGAUCCUAUGUGAAGAUUGAAUCUGACCAUCCGAAACCCGCAAACCGGCGCGAGUACCGCGGCUUCUGGAGGGUCUUAGGCCUUAGAUAGUUGUGGGAGCUGUUGUGGUGGAGGAGGAUUGGUGUAUUAUUCCAGAGCCAUCGGUCACGUCUCGAAACACGGGCCAAGGAGCAUAGCAUGUGCGCAAGUCUAAGGGAUAAGAAAUCCUGGAGGCGAAGUGAAAGCAAAUGGUGUGUUUACGAGUGUGUCGCACACGCGUAUUCAGUCUGCGAUCAGCGUAAUUCCUAUAUGGAUGAAUGCGUGUCCUGCUUAAACUGGGUUGAUCCUAUUGUAAUAAAGCCACACUGGCGAUACGUGGGCGCAAACCCCAGGCUCUCUCAACAAGGGUAUUAUCCUUGUGAGAGCACUGCAGAGCGUGCAUGUUAUAACCCGAA
rnacentral:rRNA from 1 species